rnacentral:lncRNA from 1 species
AUGGACAGCGGGUGGCCCACGCGAGGCCAGCCACCCGCCCUUCCGGGAGCUUUCCCAGAAUGCCGCACAGAACCGCAGCUCUCGUUUCAUUGGUGGGAACUGUGUCACAUGACCAACUGCCAAGGGGGCGGGCAUGCGCUGUUGUUCAACUCAUUGGCCAGAGCAGUGUCACAUGACUGCCUGCAGAGGGGCGGGAAAUGUCAUGUUUCCAUCUCAUUGGCCAGAGCGGCUUCACCUGACUGCAGACAGAGGGCUGUGAUGUUUUUAAGUAGAAGCAUUGUUGUCCUUGACAAAGUAGAGGCCGUGUUAACAAAAGAGAAAAGGAAGUGUCAGCAUCUCACAGAGAAGUGUCUGCAGCACUUCAGGAAUAACAUGGCGGUGAGUUCCCUGAAUUCCCUUAUUAUGCCCCAUGUACCCCAGACCCAGUGCUGUAGACACCUCCAACCUGGAACAACCAACAGGCACAGACAAAAAAUUAGCUCCAGAAAACCCCGGGCAAAUAACCAGGGAAAGGGCUAUCUAACAGAGUAGAAAACUUUUUGGCAGUACUGCCCCAUUCCAGACACCUACCCUGGUACGUGUGGGACUCAAUGAAGAGCUGAGCCUUCAUCCCCACCUGGUAUCAGCAAAGCAGAAUAAGGUGAUGCUGUGAGGCAGGGUUGUUUGCCACACCACUUUCCAUAUCCCGUGUCAGUGAGAAUGGAGUAGCAACUUCCAGCUUGUUACACGCCAGACUAGAAAUUGGAAGUCUCUAGAAGUUUUUGUUAUUGUUGUUUUGUUUUGUUUUGUUUUCUUAGAUUCCUUGGGGUUUUCUACGUAGACAAUCAUUUCAUCUACAAAUAGGGGCAGUUUUAUUCCUUCCUUUCCAAUCUGUAUGUCUUUAUUUUUUCUUGCCUUAUUGCACCGGCUUGAGCUUCCAAUACUAUGUUGAAUAAGGUGAGAUCACAUAUCCUUGCCUUGUUCCCCUCUUAAAGGGAAAGCAUUUAGUCUUUCACCGUCAAAUACAAUAUUAGAUGUAGUGUUUGUUGUUGUUUUGGUAGAUGCUCUUAUUACAUUGAGAAAGUUUCCCUCUAUUCUAG